CAGGGGGUUCUCAGCACGGGCAGGAGAGGCUGAGGAGCAGAAGGGCUGAGGAGAGGACGCCUGCAGCACUGUGCAGCUGGGAAAGGCAAGGAACAGCAAUCCUGGGAUCCUGGCUCCCACACCUCGCUCCCAGGUUUAGAACAUCAGAUGACUCUUAGCAGAUGUGAAAUGCUUCUGGAAGCCAAACAGUGGUUCUGUUGAUAUCCUUUGGACCACCCUGUUGAUGAAAUGGUCCCCAGGACCUGUCCCUGCUCUCUGUGGGUACUGCUGCACCAGCAAACUCCAGAGGGCCCCUGAGUGCAGAGACCUGGAGUGCAGUCAGCUCUUUGUAAGCUUCACAGAGUAGCUGAAAGAAGGCAGAGAACAAACACCACCAGUUCCCCUCACUGUCAUCAACACUGAAGUACUUUGCUGAAGCAAAAUGUCAAGAAGCUGGGACUGGACAUUUAAAGACUUAAAAGUUACUGAAUUUUCUGCCCAGUUUGGUGUGGGAAAAGAUGCAGAAGAUAAUGCUGGUGUCUUACGCGUUCUCAAGAGCUCAAUAAGAGAUGGAAAACCUCCAGAAACACAAAUCCAAAAUGACUGCACCGUGUGGAACCCGGAAUAUCUGGUUCAGUGCUGUGCCUGUCUCCCAGUUACACUCAAAACAUCAGCUUUUUUUGGAGAACAUCUGGUAAAAGCUCCCUUCAUUGCUUUAAGCCAGUUCCCACAAGGAUAUUACUGCUUCAGAUCGAUGUGGAAUUAUUCAGAUUAGAGAAAAACAAAGUUGUCAACAUUUGUGUGCAGAACAAAAUACUGCAUUGCAAUUAUAAGUGUGGGACAAGGCAAAUUCCAACAGCAUGGAACACGUUGUCAUUCUAAUUUUUCCCCCAACGUUUUUCCCCCUGUUGGGGGGAAAGCCUUUUCCAGGCCUUAAGAGACUAUUCUCUGGUCCAGAAGAGUAAUUUCUUUUGUAAGGAAAAUUAUUAAUGUUACUGAAUUCCAUAACCAGUUCUGUCUUACCUAAGCAGACGAAUGUUUUUCAUGGAACUACAAAACACAGCCAAUAGAAACAAGAUCUUGUUUCCAUUUCAACAGCUGUAAGUCAGUGUGGUAUGGUAAAAAAGGGUGAAAGAACAGACUUCCUAAUGAUAAGGUUAAGGAGUUAUUUAGGGAAAAAAACCGAGCCAAACAACUAAAUUUUGUCUCAUGUUUGCAAGUUUGAUAGAAGACGUGUCUGCUGUAAAUUAUAAACCCAACAGCCAGAGUUAUCUGCAGCAACAGAACCUUUCAAAAUCUUCUGAGGCUCCCUGAAUUAGAAAUUCUCUGCAGUUGCAUUGUCUUCUGAUCCAAUUGCACAGACAAGUGUGAUCCAUUCCUCUUACGUGCAUCAGUUUCACUGCACUAUAUGUAUGUCAUGAGCAUGGCUUGUGGUUGAAAAGGGAACUGUACUGCCCCAGGAUGAGAGGGAAAAGCAUAAUGGAGAGACAAGUCAUGAACGUCCUUUAUUAUGGCCUACCAGCCAUGCUGACAGUCUCCCUUCACACUGAUGUGUAAAAGGCACUUUAGGAGGCAGUGUCUCACAAAAGAAAUUUGAUUUUGACAUUAGGAUGCUGUUAUAACAUACACAGCCUGCAGAUGACAGGAAAUGGUUGUCUGCCGUACACCUCCACUGAGAGACACAAACACAGCCUUGACUUGGGGGGAAGCAUCAAAACCCAGGGCUUUUAGUGCUGGGCUGACUUUUUGUACCCAGAGGAACAAUAUUCUUCCACCCAAGAGCUUCUCACCUUUGUUUGCAGUAGGGAUAUUAUUAAUAUUUAAAUGGUGACAAGAGGUUUUCCCCCAGAUUAUACAUGUGCAGAAAUCCAUGCAUGAAGCUGGAACAUCUGUCUCCUGGAACUGUGGCCAGGAAAGGGAGAGAACCUGUGCAGAAAUGAACCUCACACCUGCACUGCAGAAAGGCACCUUCCACCUGUCCUUCCACCCAUCUGUUCCUCACCCAAGGAGUCCUUUUUGUGCUGCUUUCAGUGCCUGUGGAAACAAAAACUGAAGAAAGAUGAAUGACUUGCAUGUGAAAUUUCUUUCCAGGGAACUAGCUGCAGAUUGCAGUGGUUAUUAAUACUAGUAUCUCAAGUCUAAUCAGGGAAAAUUAGGAGCAGACCUUUACUUUGCAUCCUCCAAUCUGUGUUUGGGCUAGAAAACAAGAACUCUUUCUCUCUUUUUGGUACUGCUUUGAUUUUCUUGAUUUUGUUGUUUGUUUAAAGAAAAUAAUGGGAAAAGGAAAUCCAUCUCAGGAAAGAGAAAAGCUCUCUUGUCACCUGGGAUAUGGAGAAUGAAAGGUGAAGUCCAGGGUGAGAAAUGGGCAGAGGGAGCUCCCCUGCCUGAGAGGGAGCCUCUGCAGGUGUGAGUGUGGUGUGGGCUGU